rnacentral:rRNA from 1 species
UACGUAGGGUGCGAGCGUUGUCCGGAAUUAUUGGGCGUAAAGGGCUCGUAGGCGGUCUGUCGCGUCGGGAGUGAAAACUCAGGGCUUAACCCUGAGCCUGCUUCCGAUACGGGCAGACUAGAGGUAUGCAGGGGAGAACGGAAUUCCUGGUGUAGCGGUGGAAUGCGCAGAUAUCAGGAGGAACACCGGUGGCGAAGGCGGUUCUCUGGGCAUUACCUGACGCUGAGGAGCGGAAGUGUGGGGAGCGAACAGG